GACGAACGCUGGCGGCGUGCUUAACACAUGCAAGUCGAACGGAAAGGCCUGCUUUCCCUUGUGGAUUGCGGGUACUCGAGUGGCGAACGGGUGAGUAACACGUGAGUGAUCUGCCCCCAACUCGGGUAUAAGCCUGGGAAACUGGGUCUAAUUCCCGAUAGGACUGCAGGGUGGUGCCUGUGGUGGAAAACGAUUUUCUAGUGGUUGGGGAUGAGCUCGCGGCCUAUCAGCUUGUUGGUGGGGUAAUGGCCUACCAAGGCGGCGACGGGUAGCCGGCCUGAGAGGGUGGACGGCCACAUUGGGACUGAGAUACGGCCCAGACUCCUACGGGAGGCAGCAGUGGGGAAUAUUGCACAAUGGGCGGAAGCCUGAUGCAGCGACGCCGCGUGGGGGAUGACGGCCUUCGGGUUGUAAACUCCUUUCGACCGCGAGGAAGCCACCUGGUUGGAAGGGUGGUGACGGUAGUGGUAGAAGAAGCACCGGCUAACUACGUG
rnacentral:rRNA from 1 species